rnacentral:tRNA from 1 species
GAAUUGGUGGUUCAGAAGCAGAAUUCUCCUUUUCUACAUGGGAGACCUAGGUUUGAUUCCCGGCCAAUGCA